CUACAGUGUUCCAUUAAAUAAGCAAAUUCUGCUAAAGACUAAAGCACUGGUGGAAAAAUACUAAGCCCUUCUAUAUUUGUUAUCUAACUACUAUAAGUCUAGAGCAGCACUGCCAUAUUACCUCAUGUAAUUAAAGGGGCACUCACUAUAGGCACCCAGACCAUUUAAUUUCAUUGAAAUGGUCUGGUAAGUGUGUAAAGAUUUUUUUUUAACUCUUUCAUGUCUCGCAGUGGGC